rnacentral:rRNA from 1 species
UACAUGGGGUGCAAACGUUGCUCGGAAUUAUUGGGCGUAAAGCGCACGUAGGCGGUUUGUUAAGUCGGAUGUGAAAUCCCUCGGCUCAACUGAGGAAGUGCAUCCGAAACUGGCAAGCUUGAGUACGAAAGAGGGUCGCGGAAUUCCCGGUGUAGAGGUGAAAUUCGUAGAUAUCAGGAAGAACACCGAUGGGCGAAGGCAGUUCUCUGGGACGGUACUGACGCUGAGACGCGAAAAGCGUGGGGAGCAAACAGGG